ensembl:lncRNA
AAUACAGGAGACAUGUGUUCGAUCUCUGGGUCAGGAAUUUCCCCUGGAGAAGGACGUGGCAACCCACUCCAAUAUUCUUGCCUGGGAAAUCCCAUGGACAGAGGAGCCUGGCGGGCUACAGUCCAUGCGGUCACAAAAAGGUGAAAUGACAUCUCAACACCAUUCAGAGAGAAUUUUCCAAGACACAACCAACAUGCUUUCUUCUGAUACUAAUCCCAGUGUUUGAUAGGAAUGUUUGCUUUCAGUCAAGAUAUAGACCACUUCCAUAGAAAUGUCCACUGACCUUUCAUCAUUAAUCUUCUACUCCUACCACCGGCUCCAGAUGACCACUGAUCUCCUUUUUAUCAUCACUACAGGGAGAAGAGCUGGCUUAGACAGAUGUAGAACCGCCCAGUCUACUUAAGGCAUACCAACUGAAUAGCUUAGUCCAAAACAUCAGUUCUAUAGAUUAAAAACUUGAAAAAGGCCACAUGCAUUCUGACAUUUUUUUCCCCAAUGAAGAAACUAAGAUGGAAAAGGAAAAGUUUGUUCCUAAGUCUGUAGUUCUAAUCCUCAACAACCAAGGAGUUAUGGUGUGUGGGGUUGGGGUUCUCUUAAAAUAAAAAUUAAAUAAA